rnacentral:ribozyme from 13 species
CGAAAGUUUCUUUUGUAAUUUUUUAUUAUUUUUUUUAUUUCCUUUUUCUUUUCUUGUUUUUUCAGCUUUUGUUUUCAAUUUUACAGCAAAAGCAGAUGCAAGGGCUG